GAAAAAUGAAAAAUGGGCAAAAAAUGUGUGGUGCACGGCUGCGGAAGCCGAACCGGAGAUACGGUUUCAUUUUAUGGAUUUCCGAACGAUCCUGACACUGAAAAGGUUAUUCUCGAGGCUAUUCAAGUAAAAUUCCUCCCGCGAAUCCCUGAAAAUGAUCAAUAUGUGCAAUUCGAUUCUAAUGGAAGCCAGCCAGGAGAUACCGAACCAUUUGCUGGAGAAAAAGUCGAUUGGUACAACGAACGUGGAACAAUCCCAAAUCGGUGCCGAUAGAAAGAAACGAAGGACAAACUAUAAUAAUUGAACUAUUAGGAGCAAGAAAACAAUCUGCGUUUCAGUGCCACCUCGCGGUAGAACAGAAAAUGAGCUUACUGGCAAAAAACCAGACAUCUCAGUGUUUGAUGAAGAACUGUGCCCUGCAUUAAACCACGAAGACCCC